UACGUAGGGGGCAAGCGUUGUCCGGAUUUAUUGGGCGUAAAGAGCGUGUAGGCGGCUUUGCAAGUCCGUUGUGAAAACUCGAGGCUCAACCUCGAGACGCCGGUGGAAACUGCAAAGCUAGAGUCCGGAAGAGGAGAGUGGAAUUCCUGGUGUAGCGGUGAAAUGCGCAGAUAUCAGGAAGAACACCCGUGGCGAAGGCGGCUUCCUGGACCGACACUGACGCUGAGGCGCGAAAGCUAGGGGAGCAAACGGG
rnacentral:rRNA from 1 species